AACCCAGCCUCAAGUCUGCCUCACUAUCUCUAGUGAACUGCAAUCUAGCAGUUCAGGAAUGAACCAUGCUCAGAUAUCUGCUCUACUCUCUUGAGAGAUCACUCUCUCAGAAGAUCAAACAACAUGGAUCAGGCUCCUCUUUAAAAAGGGUUUCUGGUACCUGCCAUCAGCCUUGGAAUAAAUAAAGGAGUCUUUCCCCUUUGGAAUGAGAUUUCUCUAUGACAAAUAGAUUUAUAUUCUGCUGGAAUGAUAGCUACAGCUUGAAUAUGCGUGGCCAACGUUCUAUGGGCCCCAAUGAUGUCAAACAAAUCUCUACGCGGUGCUCACCCUAAAGGUGAUGAGAGUCUUCUAGGACUGUCAGAGCCUAAGAUUCUCAACUUCAAAACAGGAUUGAGUGGCCUGCCUCCCAUCAGGAAGGCAAGUAGCAAGUCUGAGUCUCUUCUUCCCACUGGAGAACUGGCACUUUCCAUGGAAGCAGAAGGAAGGAGAAGUUAUUUCACUCUCAAAUUCCAGGGUUCUCACUCUCACCUAAGUUGUUUGUUAUUAUUAAAAUGGAGAACAUUUGAUAUCUCCUAUAUGGCAGGAGAUCACACAUAUCAGGCAACUGAAUAUACCAUCUUAUUUAAUACUCACAACAAGUCAGUUAGAUGGGUACUAUUAUUCUUACUUUGCAGAUGAAUACAUUGAAGUUACCAAGUCAUAUUCAGUGCCAAAGCCCAUGGGCUAUAUUAUAAGGCGAUCGUCAUAGAAUCAAAAAAUAUUAAUUUUCUGAAGAAGACUUGUAAGUUAACUAGUUCAGCUUCCCAUAUAAUCCAGAACCUCUUUCUACAACAGCCCCAGUAAAUGUCCCUUCAGCCUUUGUUUGAAUGUAUCUCAGGGCAGGGCUGGUGAACUGGGAAAGCCCUGGAUCCAAAGUCAGAGGCUUGGAUUCAAAUUCUAGCUCUCCUGUGUACUAACUAACUGUGUACCUACCUUAGCCAGGUUACUUAACAUCUUUAAGCAUCAGUUUCUUCAUGUAUAAACAGGAGAGAAUACCCAAACACAGAGUUGCAGUGAUGAGCAAGUGAGAUGAUACACUUGAAUUCAAUCAUUCAACAGGUUUCAUUUGUGCCUCUUUCUAUGCCAAUCACCCUGCUGCACACAAUGGAUACAUUAGUGAACAAAGCAGACGUGGUCCCUGCCCCCCUGAAGCUUGCAGGUUAGUGGGAGAGACAGAUAACCAGGAUUGGGACAAGGAUGAGGGGAGUGAGGCAGUUGCUUCUGGUGAAAGUUUUAACAUGAUGCCAAAAAACUCAGUGACGGAGAUCAAAAAUACUUUAAUGCAAUAUUUAAAAAAAUAAAAGUUAAUGCAAAAAUUCCA
rnacentral:lncRNA from 1 species